rnacentral:rRNA from 1 species
GACGAACGCUGGCGGCGUGCUUAACACAUGCAAGUCGAACGGAAAGGCCCUGCUUUUGUGGGGUGCUCGAGUGGCGAACGGGUGAGUAACACGUGAGUAACCUGCCCUUGACUUUGGGAUAACUUCAGGAAACUGGGGCUAAUACCGGAUAGGAGCUCCUGCUGCAUGGUGGGGGUUGGAAAGUUUCGGCGGUUGGGGAUGGACUCGCGGCUUAUCAGCUUGUUGGUGGGGUAGUGGCUUACCAAGGCUUUGACGGGUAGCCGGCCUGAGAGGGUGACCGGCCACAAUGGGACUGAGAUACGGCCCAGACUCCUACGGGAGGGAGGAGGGGGGAAUAAUGCACAAUGGGCGGAAGCCUGAUUCAGCAACGCCGCGUGCGGGAUGAAGGCCUUCGGGUUGGAAACCGCUUUCGCCUGGGACGAAGCGUGAGGGACGGGAAUUGGUAAAGAAGCAACGGCUAACUACGUG